UACGUAGGUGGCAAGCGUUGUCCGGAUUUACUGGGCGUAAAGAGCGCGCAGGCGGUCGGUCAAGUCUCGUGUGAAAGCCCCCGGCUCAACUGGGGAGGGUCACGCGAUACUGAUCGACUCGAAGGCAGGAGAGGGUAGUGGAAUUCCCGGUGUAGUGGUGAAAUGCGUAGAUAUCGGGAGGAACACCAGUGGCGAAGGCGACUACCUGGCCUGUUACUGACGCUGAGGCGCGAAAGCUAGGGGAGCAAACGGG
rnacentral:rRNA from 1 species